rnacentral:rRNA from 1 species
GGGUCACUAUGCCUGGAACGGUUAGUGGCUGAAAGCUCCGGCGGCACAGGAUGGGUCUGCGGCGUAUCAGGUCGUAGGGGGUGUAACGUACCUCCUAGCCUUCGACGCGUACGGGUUGUGAGAGCAAUUGCCCGGAGAUGGAUUCUGAGACACGAAUCCAGGCCCUACGGGGCGCAGCAGGCGCGAAAACUUGACAAUGCGAGAAAUCGUGAUCAGGGGACUCCAGUUGGCUGGAUCAAAAGUCCAGUCUGAACCGACUUUAAAUCGGUCGGGUAAUAGGGGCGGGAAAGACCGGUGCCAGCCGCCGCGGUAAUACCGGCGCCCCAAGUGGUCGUCACUAUUAUUGGGCCUAAAACGUCCGUAGCCUGUUUGGUACAUUCGUGGGUAAAUCAACCAGCUCAACUGGUUGAAUUCUGCGAGCACGGCCAGACUUGGGACCGGGAGAGGUGUGGGGUACGCUCAGGGUAGGGGUAAAAUCCUGUCAUCCUGAGCGGACCACCUGUUGCGAAGGCGCCACACUAGAACGGAUCCGACGGUCAGGGACGAAGC